rnacentral:lncRNA from 1 species
AAAUCCACUUAUUUUGGGCUUUUGCAAAACCGGGCCACCUUUUUCGUUUUUGCAGAUUCAGUCCACUUUUUCAGCAAACUGACCAAAAUACCCUUUUUACUUUUUCUCUUUCCUCUUUCUCUCUUCUCUUCGUUUCUCUCGUUCUUUUUUUUUUCUCGCCAGCAGAGCGGAGGCGUAAACGGUCCGUCUCGCCUCUUACCCUCAUUCUCUAGCCCUCGCCCUCGCCCUCGCCCUUGCCCUCGUCCACGCACCCCCAACCUUCCUCGCCUCCAACCCCGCCAAGGCCGCGCCACGAUUUUUUUUUUUUUUUUGUUUUUUUCUUUUCUUUUCUUCUCCGACUCUUCUCCACCGUCUCCGACGACGAUGCCUCUCUCGUCCUUCUCGUCCUUCCCCGCCCUUCUCA